rnacentral:lncRNA from 1 species
UCCUAAAUAAUUCCUGACUUACAUGCAGCCUAGAGACAUAAAACCAUGCACUCAUACACCUCCUUGAGAAGUUCUUCAAGAAGUGCCAUUUGUGCUGUAAUUUCUUGUACAUCACAAAAGUCAAACAAAGGAAGGAUAAUGCUCAUGCUCAAAUUGUGUACUUCUGCUAUUGAAGGGUUGAAGUUCAGUAAAGAACAGUGUUAUUUGCUGUCAAUGUAACUUCUCUAAAAGCUAAAGAAAAAACAGGAAAGGGCAGAAGCGGU